CCUGUGAUAGCUCAGUUGGUUAGAGCAUGGCGCUGAUAAUGCCAAGGUUGCAGGUUCGAUUCCUGCAUUGCAGGG